GGAAGAAGCGAAAGUGACGGUACCUGCAGAAGAAGCACCGGCUAACUACGUGCCAGCAGCCGCGGUAAUACGUAGGGUGCGAGCGUUAUCCGGAAUUAUUGGGCGUAAAGAGCUCGUAGGCGGUUUGUCGCGUCUGUCGUGAAAGUCCGGGGCUUAACCCCGGAUCUGCGGUGGGUACGGGCAGACUAGAGUGCAGUAGGGGAGACUGGAAUUCCUGGUGUAGCGGUGGAAUGCGCAGAUAUCAGGAGGAACACCGAUGGCGAAGGCAGGUCUCUGGGCUGUAACUGACGCUGAGGAGCGAAAGCAUGGGGAGCGAACAGGAUUAGAUACCCUGGUAGUCCAUGCCGUAAACGUUGGGCACUAGGUGUGGGGACCAUUCCACGGUUUCCGCGCCGCAGCUAACGCAUUAAGUGCCCCGCCUGGGGAGUACGGCCGCAAGGCUAAAACUCAAAGGAAUUGACGGGGGCCCGCACAAGCGGCGGAGCAUGCGGAUUAAUUCGAUGCAACGCGAAGAACCUUACCAAGGCUUGACAUGUUCUCGAUCGCCGUAGAGAUACGGUUUCCCCUUUGGGGCGGGAUCACAGGUGGUGCAUGGUUGUCGUCAGCUCGUGUCGUGAGAUGUUGGGUUAAGUCCCGCAACGAGCGCAACCCUCGUUCCAUGUUGCCAGCACGUAAUGGUGGGGACUCAUGGGAGACUGCCGGGGUCAACUCGGAGGAAGGUGGGGACGACGUCAAAUCAUCAUGCCCCUUAUGUCUUGGGCUUCACGCAUGCUACAAUGGCCGGUACAAUGGGUUGCGAUACUGUGAGGUGGAGCUAAUCCCAAAAAGCCGGUCUCAGUUCGGAUUGGGGUCUGCAACUCGACCCCAUGAAGUCGGAGUCGCUAGUAAUCGCAGAUCAGCAACGCUGCGGUGAAUACGUUCCCGGGCCUUGUACACACCGCCCGUCAAGUCACGAAAGUCGGUAACACCCGAAGCCGGUGGCCUAACCCUUGUGGGGGAGCCGUCGAAGGUGACCAGC
rnacentral:rRNA from 1 species